GGGGCCUAAAUAUGGCCUCACGUACAGGCCAGAAAAGGAAUUGUCCAAUUUAACACCCAAAAGGAAGACACCAUCAGGUCCCAUUAAAAACCAAGGCCAAUAAGGCCCGUGAUGAGAGCAUAGUCCAAC